CAACAUCGUCCCGUGUUUACCUAAAAAGAGAAAAAAAAUCAAAGAAAUUUGCUUCUCCUCCGCAUGCCCAUUUCGAAAUCCUUCAAAUGGCGCAGAUCCGUCACUCAUCGCACCCUCGCCUUCAAUAUCUCCUCCCUCCUCCUCCACCACAACAAACCUCUAUCUCACCUCCGCUCCAAACUCUCCCUCCUUCCCCUUCCCUUCCCAUCCCCCCUCAUCCGCCGCAUCAUAACCUCAACCCGCUUCAACCCCGACAUCUCUCUCCGCUUCUUCCUUUUCGCAAGCUCGCACCUUUCGUUCUCGCCCACACUCCCUGACCACGCUACCAUCUUCUCCAUCCUCGCCUCCGCCGGCCACCUCCUUCCAGCCGCCCACCUCUUCUACCAUGCACUCCGCUGUCAUCCGACCCCAAUUGUUUUGGACUCUCUCAUUCGCUCCUCAUCCUCUUGUAAAAUUUCUCUUUCCAAAGUUCUCUGCUUUGUACUGGAACUGUACUCAAAGUUGCCUUCCUGGAAUGCCAUGGAAACUUUCAUUAGAAUGAGGGAUUUUGGGCUCGUACCGGGCAGUCGAAGCUUGAAUUCCUUGCUUAAUAUGCUCUGCUCGAAUGGUGAAAACCGGACGGCAUGGCAGGUUUGUGCAGCUGCACUGCGUAUUGGCGCCGAGAUGGAUCGUGGAAGCUGGCCGAUCAUGGUGAGGCUUCUCUGUCAAGAAGGUAGUAUUCAUAGAGCUGAAAUGCUGCUGAAUUUAGGUUUUUCCCGUCGUAUUUCGAGUUAUGAUUUGGUUGUGGAUUGCUAUGCUAGUAGAAGAGACUUCAGGGCAGCGAUCCAGGUGUUGAAUGGAAUGGAGGAGAAGGGUUUGAGGUUGAGAUUGAGUACUUUGAGCUCAGUUCUCGAAAAAAGUUGCAAAUUUUGCAAUUUUAAGAUCUCUGGUAUCUUCAUGAAAGAAAUGGUUGUCAGGGAUUUACUGCCCAUGGCUCCAACCAUAGAUUUUGAUCGGAUGAUCUGGAGUUUUUGUGAGCUCGGGAAGACUUCUGCAGCUGUGUUGAUCUUUGAAAAGGCUCGGAGUUGUAAUUUUGAUCUUACAAGCACCUCCUAUACGUGUCUAUUAAGUGCAUUAUCUCAAAAUGGCAGAGAAAAGGACGCCAUGAAGGUGUUUGAUAUUAUGUCGCAAAGGGGAAUUGUUGUGGACCCUUUAUCUCUUGAUGCUUUUGUGAGUGGCAUUUGUAGCGGAGAGCCAAUGGAGGAAAUUGAUGCAGUGAUAAAGAGCCUGAUGAAAAAUGGUUCCUUGCCCAAAGCCUCCGAUUUGUCCACCUAUGUAGCUAAAAAUUGUAGCAGAGGAAGGUGGAAGGUGGCUACUGAACUGCUUCAUUUGGCUUUGGAUAAAUGCAUAUUGGUGGACGGUUCUUGCUGUUGCUUGCUGAUGAAGCAUUUCUGUAAGAAUGGGUUUCUGGAUUUGGCGAUUGGUCUGCACGAGAAGAUUAAAGGAUUGGGUGGAUUCUUAGAUGUGGAUUCUUAUAAUGUUCUGCUGGAAGCUCUUGUUGUGCAUGGAAGAGCCAUGGAAGCCAUUGGAGUUUUUGACUGUAUGAGAAAGAAUAAUUUGUUGAGUAGUUUUAGUUUUGUGAUGAUGAUUAGUGCACUUUGCCAUGAAAAGGAGCUGAGGAAAGCAAUGAAUCUCCAUGACGAGAUGCUGAAAUUAGGGCUUAAGCCAGAUAUUCCAACUUACAAGCAGUUGAUAACUGGGUUUCAGUGAAAAGAAUAGGGAAGUUGAUGUGCUAUCUUCUAGUACAAAGGUACCAGAGCUCUUCAUGCAUCCCGGUUCAACAAGAAGAAUAAGACCUGAACACAAAUGUAGGACGAGAGGAAGAUUGGAGGAGAAGCACAAAUGGAGUUGGUCGGAACAGCUUGCCAGAGCGGAACGUCGGCUCAGUUUUAGCCAGGCAGCUGCAGGUCGAUAAAGACGAGCAAAAAGGGUAGCUAAUCCAACCAGAACCACAACAUCAUCCGAAUGUGCGGCUUAAAUAAUUGUUUAAAUAGUUGUUCCGAUGCACGGCUUCUUUUUUAGCUCUGAAUGCACAUUUAUGAGAUUGGAGGUUGAUGUCAUUUUGUCUCAUAUGCUAUUUGUUAGAAGAGUGUGGAUGAUUGAUUCAAGUUAAUUUUAAGAUAGAUAAAUGCCCAUUUUAAAUUUUGAGACAUUUGUAUAAAUGAUAGAAAAAUUGUAUAUAAUUUAUGUAACU